GAAAGCCCGAACUGGUACACACCACAGUUCUACAAUGUCCAAUUCUCAGAGUGUAAUGAGUUAGGCAGAAAGGAAAAGACCUGCUCAGCUACAAGGAAUAGGCAGAGUCUUGACGGAUAUAAGAAUAUGGUGGGAAAACUCAAUCUUGACUGUUGUCAGGUCCCUGGAGCUGGGGAUGGGGCCUGCAGCACAGCAGAGAGCUCAGUUAUACAUAAAAGGCAGCUUCUAUCCUGUGAGCAGCGAUACUCCAGGACAUAAGAAGAGAGGCUAGUCACAAAAAGACUCUGAAGUCCAUGCAUUUCUAGCACAGAAGACAGGCAGAAAAGAACGAGGUAAAAAUUACCAUUGUAUGGACUUUUAUCUUUUAUUCUGAAUGAGAGACAGGAAAAUUUCAAUGGAGAGACAAGACCUAAGAUUCAGAAGGAUCACUCUGACAGCUGUAUACAGAGGAGACGACAUGGGGCAGGAGCAGCAGCUGCAAGAACAGUCAGGGGGCCACUGUAUUUGUCAAGGUGAGAGAGAAUAGCUUGGACCCAGGUAUCAGUGCCAGUAGUUAAGGAAGGGGCAGAUUCUGGAGACAUUCAGAAGGCAAAGCUGCGAUGAUUCACUGGCAGACUGGAUGCAGAUGCAGCAUGAGAGAAAGACCAAAGUCAAGAAUGACCCCGUGGUUUUUGAUCUAAGGAAACGGCUGAAACAGGCGACGUCUGGAGUACACUCUGGGUCCUGACUAAUCCUGUACAGCACACAGCAGGGAUGCAAACUGAGGACAGCUAAUAAAUUGCAGAAACAACAAAUCCCAGUGGCUUCUUAUUCUGUGUGAAGCAUCUGCAGCUGUACUCUGCUUUAGUACAAUAGUUAGUGUGUCUUCUACGUGUUCAAGGCAGUAUCUUACUUUAAGUCACAAAGCCGAGCAUUUGAUUAUGCGUCAUAAUUCCUGACUUCAUAUUGUAGUGUUUGUCAAAAGAAAGUCAUUACAGCUUGGGCCAGAAUUAGACCCUGAAACAGAAAGAAAACACUGAUGGAAAAACUAGUGAAAUCCAAACAAUGUCUGUUUCUUAGUUAGGACACAUGAAGCAUAGUCAUGUAAGAUGUUCACAUGGAGGAACUGGGUAUGGGACCAUUCUGCACUACCUUCGCAACUUCUCUGUCAACUACAAGCAUUCCAAAAUAAGACAGCUUAUUAAAAAGAAAGUCACUGUGUUCAUUAAUUGGUGGUGUGUUACAAACAUAAAUAUGAAAUAAAU